rnacentral:rRNA from 1 species
CGAAGUUUCCCUCAGGAUAGCUGUCACUCGGAGGUAAAUGAGUUUCAUCCGGUAAAGCGAAUGAUUAGAGGCCUUGGGGUGCAAUGCCCUCAACCUAUUCUCAAACUUUAAAUGGGUGAGAAGCUGAGCUUGCUUAAUGCAUUGAAGCUCAGUCAUUGAAUCAGAGUGACCAGUGGGCCACUUUUGGUAAGCAGAACUGGCGCUGUGGGAUGAACCAAACACACGAGUUAAGGGGCCUAAAGAACGCUAAUGUAGACACUAAGAAAAGGUGUUGGUUGCUAUAGACAGCAGGGCAGUGGCCAUGGAAGUUGGAAUCUGCUGAGGAGUGUGUAACAACUCACCUGCCAAAGCAACUAGUCCUUAAAAUGGUAUGGCGCUGAAGCGUUCUCCCGAUACUCGGCCGCCGGGGCAGCGGGCCCGCAAGGGCCUUCAAGCCCCGGUGAGUAGGAGGGUUGCAGCGGUGUGCGUAGAAGGUGUCCGGCGCAAGCCGGCCUGGAGCCGCCGCUGGUACAGAUCUUGGUGGUAGUAGCAA